AUGGAUUGGUUUCCAAUUACAUCUUAAAUAUGGAGUGUCGAAUUUAUUGGCUUGCCUAUUAAUUUGAGUUUUGAUAUUAUUAUUUCAAUAGUUAGAACAAUGAUAUAGUUUUAGUUUUCCCUUUCGAAAAAUUGGUUUGUACAGUGACCACAUCUUACAUUAACUAGACAUUUGUCAUUCAGAUCUAAGCACAGUGAUUUAGCCAUUUUGUAAAACAAACUACAUAAUUUGUCCUACAAAAUAAGCAGCUUCAACUAUAAAAAUUUAAAAGUCAAUUUGCCUUCUUUGCCUCACAGUGAUAAAAUCAUACAAUGUUUGCUUACAGUCCUAUCCACAAAAAAUACAACUGUACAACUUAUCAGAGUCAUUGCACAUGAAAUUCUAAUCUUUAAUAUCCAAUUUGGUUCAGUCUUAAUCGUUCUGGGUAGAAUUCUUGAUAGCUUAUAAGGUCACAUGGGUAAGGUUUUUUAUAGGUUGUGAUAUUAAUUUACUAUAUUCUAGCUUAUUGUGUGAUUCUGUCAUAUUAAUUCAGAGUCAAAAGUCAAGUAAUGAGGAGGGAGAGACAGAAGAAUGAAAGAAGAGGAUGAGUUCUUCAUACCCGAGCUAUAUUUAAAAAAAUGUCAAUUCUUAAUUUAGUUCUUGAUUAAUUCAGUUUUCUUCCCUGGACAGAUCUGGCCCUUGCUGCUGCAACCUACCAAGCUGUAAUCUCUAAUAAGUUGUUCUUUCUUGUGACCAAUUCAACGGUAAGAGACUGUUGAUGUAUAGCUAUUGUGGCCUACUCUGAAAUUAUUUGCAAAAAGUACUGGAAUUGUUUUGUGGUCAGAAUAACUGAGCACCACAAAAUUUUAAUCAAAUUUUGACACAAGCCGGUACAAGAGACCAGCUUGAAAUUUGUAUACGCAUGGAAAGCUGAAAUGACAAGACAAUUUAGUCUGAGAUUCAGGACAAAGCUCAAAAUCGAGAGAUUUGUUCUAUUGAAAACAAGAAGGAUUAAGGGAAUUGCUGGAGGAGCUUGACAUGGAUUUCGCUCAGACCACACAUAUAAAUAGAUAAAGGAACGACCCAACUAUUAUAUGUUUUUUUGUUUGAGUUGUAAGUAAUAAUCUGUGAACUUGGUGGAACUUCUCCACUGGAUACACUCCUAAAUAUAUAAAUGAGUAUUUGAGAAUGAUAUGUUCAGGUUGUAAGU